CACGUUUUAUCCUUCUGUGUUGCAGAAAUGGUUAAUAUAUGUUCUGUGUGUGUAUGCAUGAAAGCAAACAAAAGAAAAAGAAAGAGGGUGAAAUCACUGGGUACAGUCCUACUUUUUCAGUGUGUCUGCAGAAGCUGCCAGAAGCUUCUGUUCCUUUUCCAACAGUAAGCACAGCAUUAAAUUCCUUAAAAGGCAGUUAAUACAGGAAUAACAACAGUGCACUUAUCUAGUAUUUCCAUCCACAGAUGUCACGACGUCACUUGCAAAAACAUAGGAGAAAGAAAAAGAUUUUCCUCUUUUUUUUUGUGUGAGCACCACUGAUAAAUAGUUGUCAUAUUGCAGAGAUAAGGUGAGGUGACUUUCCUAGUCAUGCAGGAUAUGCAUGUUAGAACAGGUAGAAUCGUUCCUCGACUCCCGUUUUUUAAUGUUAAUAAGAAUGCCCAUUCCUUAAAGAACGCAGCAGUCAGCACAGUUAGUUUUCUGCUCCCUCUUCAUUGUAUUCGUUUUUCUAUCCCUAUUCCCAGAUAAAACUGCCUGUCAGCUUUCCGAGACAGUUUAGGUUGAAACAGAGGCAAAUAUGUCUCUAACAGAAAAAAAGGCUUUCUCUUUGUUCUCAUAACUUAACCACCACAUUACAAGAAAUUGCACUGACAAAGGGCCCCCUUCACAAAGGAAGAUGAGAAUAAACAAAGGCCCAUAAGCAGCCAGAAGGGUUUGUAGAUGCUAUCUCCUGAAGUGCGUGGGCAAGGACAAGUGAAGAGUAAGCCUUUCUUUACGAAGCACCAGUGUCUGCAUGCUCUGUUUUCUCAAUUAGCUGCACUUGGAAACUGUUCCCACAGAUAGACCACAAUGCUCUGAAAUGGUCUGAGGUGCCUGGCUCUGCACCUUGGUGUUUCCAUGGAAGAGCACAGCCUGAAUGUGCAUUCUAUCAGGUGUUUCUUCUUUUAGAAAAAUGCUAGCAAUGCAGUGAAGAAGAAAGAUGCAAAUUAUAUACAAGGGGAAAAAAAAAAAGUAGGGGAAUUAAAUACCAGUGGAAGGGGAAGAAAGCUCAUUGCUACUCAAGUAAUCAUGGCAUUUAUUAUCCUGAGGGUCAAUGCAAAGACUCAGUCCUCCUUAUAAAUGGAUGUGGAAUGAGUAUUAGGUCAGGAAAUAUCUGACUGCUUUGGUGUUCUCAAUGCCUGCCUGGAAGGUGGUUUCUAACUCAAUUGCAUGCUGCAUCUCCUCCAAAAGUAGCUCUGUCCCACAGAUGGCAUGUACCAACCACAGAUGGCUUGCAGCGAGGCAUUUCUCCCUAAGGAUAUACAAGGAAGACCUAGGUUCUUACGACACAUGCUGAAUUGUAUAAAUCUUCUCAGUACACUGAUGCUGCCUUCUUAGAUUCACAAUACCGUGGAAUCAUUGAGGUUGGAAAGGACCUCUAAGACCAUCCAGUCCAACCGCCCGCCUACCACCAGCACUGCCCACUAAACCACAUCCCUGAGUGCCAUGUCUCUGUGGUUCUUGAACACCUCCUAGGAAAUGACUCCCUGAGCAGCCUGUGCCAAUGCUUACAAGUCUUAAAAUCUUAGAAAUAUACUUUUUAAAAAUUUUUAAUUUUUUUUAUUUUUUCCUGGGCUGGUAAAAAGCCUCUGUCAGGAACAGGAUUAAUGUGCCUCAGGAAGCAGUCUUAUCCCCGAGCUCCCUGCUAUACAAGAGAGCACACAGCAGGCUAAUUUCUCUAGACAAAGAAGCCAACUUAGUAGGCCACUGCUGCAAUGGUUUCUAAUCCUCUUCUUAAAGCUUGUCCUGUAUGGUGACUUUUGCUGCCAGAAAGAGGAAGAAAAAGGAAAACAGAGCAGCCAGCCUGUUCAGAAUUCACAAACCACCCCUAUGCUGUAUAAUAGCAAAUAGGGGUGUGAGGAGGAUGCUUCGUUCCCUUCUCUACAUACUCUACAUACAUACUUUAUAAGGGAUGAUUUCACUGCUCUGAGUUGCAAGCCUGGAUCAUCUGCUUGUAGAAGUGCAUUUUAUCAAAAUGAUGUAGGUUCCCAG
rnacentral:lncRNA from 1 species